UACGGAGGGUGCGAGCGUUAAUCGGAAUUACUGGGCGUAAAGCGCGCGUAGGCGGUUUGUUAAGUCGGAUGUGAAAUCCCCGGGCUCAACCUGGGAACUGCACCCGAUACUGGCCGACUUGAGUGCGAGAGAGGGAGGUAGAAUUCCAUGUGUAGCGGUGAAAUGCGUAGAUAUAUGGAGGAAUACCGGUGGCGAAGGCGGCCUCCUGGCUCGACACUGACGCUGAGGUGCGAAAGCGUGGGUAGCAAACAGGAUUAGAUACCCUGGUAGUCCACGCCGUAAACGAUGUCUACUAGCCGUUGGGGAACUUGAUUCUUUAGUGGCGCAGCUAACGCACUAAGUAGACCGCCUGGGGAGUACGGCCGCAAGGUUAAAACUCAAAUGAAUUGACGGGGGCCCGCACAAGCGGUGGAGCAUGUGGUUUAAUUCGAUGCAACGCGAAGAACCUUACCAGGUCUUGACAUCCUGAGAACUUAGCAGAGAUGCUUUGGUGCCUUCGGGAACUCAGAGACAGGUGCUGCAUGGCUGUCGUCAGCUCGUGUCGUGAGAUGUUGGGUUAAGUCCCGUAACGAGCGCAACCCUUGUCCUUAGUUGCCAGCGCGUAAUGGCGGGAACUCUAAGGAGACUGCCGGUGACAAACCGGAGGAAGGUGGGGACGACGUCAAGUCCUCAUGGCCCUUAUGGCCAGGGCUUCACACGUAAUACAAUGGUCGGUACAGAGGGCUGCUAACCCGCGAGGGGGUGCCAAUCUCAGAAAACCGAUCGUAGUCCGGAUUGUUGUCUGCAACUCGACAGCAUGAAGUCGGAAUCGCUAGUAAUCGCGGAUCAGAAUGUCGCGGUGAAUACGUUCCCGGGCCU
rnacentral:rRNA from 1 species